AGGAACUCAGCUCAAACUUAAAACCUAAGGACUUGACGGUGUUCCAUCCCCCUAGAGGAGCCUGUUCUAUAAUCGAUUCUCCACGAUAUACCUCACCACCCCUAGAACAUUCAGCCUGUAUACCUCCGUCGCAAGCUCACCAUGUGAACGCACCCAGUAAGCUCAAGGAUUAAAAUCAAAACGUCAGGUCAAGGUGCAGCCUAUGGAAUGGAAAGAAAUGGGCUACAAUCUCUAUAUUAGAACAAACGGAAAACUGCAUGAAACACAGUUAUUGAAGGCGGAUUUAGUAGUAAAAAGAAAAUAGAGAGUUCUUUUUAACCCGGCACUGGAACGCGUACACACCGCCCGUCAUCCUCUUCAAAUAGUAUAUAUCAUGUUACUAACACANCACACACCCCCCCCUAGAAGAGGCAAGUCGUAACACGGUAAGCGUACUGGAAAGUGCGCUUGGAAACAAAAUGUAACUUAACGAAAGUACCUUGCUUACACCAAGAACAUGUCCGUGCAACCCAGACCAUUUUGAGCCAAAAACCUAGCCCAUUAAAAUCGUAUAAAAACAAAAACCCCCCCCCCCAUAAAAUGAAUAAAACAUUUAACAAACCAAGUAAAGGCGAUU
rnacentral:rRNA from 1 species